rnacentral:rRNA from 1 species
UACGGGGGGGGCAAGCGUUGUUCGGAAUUACUGGGCGUAAAGGGCUCGUAGGCGGCCAACUAAGUCAGACGUGAAAUCCCUCGGCUUAACCGGGGAACUGCGUCUGAUACUGGAUGGCUUGAGUUUGGGAGAGGGAUGCGGAAUUCCAGGUGUAGCGGUGAAAUGCGUAGAUAUCUGGAGGAACACCGGUGGCGAAGGCGGCUGCUCUGGGACGGUACUGACGCUGAGACGCGAAAGCGUGGGGAGCGAAACAGG